rnacentral:lncRNA from 1 species
CAUCUUUGAAGAAAGAUGCUUGUUAAGAAACUCCACCCCAUUACCGAUGGAUUUGGACAGCGACGGUCGAGGAAAACUUGCGUUGAACGGCUCGAAGUCAAGCUCCAGAAUGAAGUUGGUGUCCGAUCUACAGUUUAUCAAUCAGGUAAUUAAUCUAUAAUUAAAGAUUGAAUUUUUAUUAUCAUAAUCCAUACCCACCCAUCAACUAGUUGUUCCUUGAGCUUCAUAUAGUCAGGCACAGCCAAAGAUUGAAAAGUGAGGUCAUUGACGUUAAUAGAGAUAUAAUCCCAAACACCCGGUCUAGGACGGACCGCUAGCGCAACCACCGGAGGCAAAACUAUCCCUUCCUGGGAAGCUCUCAGAACAUCACCAAAAGCUCC